UUCACUGUAGAGGCUCUAUCCACAACGUGGAGGAGUAUAAAUGCGUGUACUUGCUAAAUAGCCAGCUAGGCAAACACAAAGCCCUCUCUCUCUGUCUCAGACGAGAGGGAUUCACAGCGGUGAACGAUUAGCGGCCGGGUUAUGUGUGAUGGAACAUCAUUUCCAUCCUGAGCUGGUGGACAAGGUGAAGACUCUUCAUUUAACUUCAGGUUUUCCUGGCCUCUUCAAAUGUGGAAAAGGCUGAGGAUGGACCUGGGAGAGAGAUACAGAGAGACAGCAAAUGGGCUCGAGAGAGAUGGAAAAACACAAGAUGACUGUCAUUUACCCAGUGGACAGCCCCAUCACCUCAGCAGAGAGAGAGAGAUUUAGGCUUCAAAUUUAAUUUGUGAUUUGUGAACUGUAAAUUCUGUGCGCAAAAGUGGCAACAGUGGCUUUACACAAUCCUGCGCACGGAUCUCUUUUCCUCUUAUGAUAUUUGCCAGUCAUAUGCCGUCAUAGACAAAUGCUUUAUUGUCUUACAGUGAAAUGUAUCUGGUGUUCCCUCUUUAUUUGUAAGCAAAACCUCUUAAUGAAAAUGGAAAUUGCCUGGUAUAAUUUU